AAUUCUCAAGGUCAUUGAUUUUCUCCAAAACAGUCAAUCCAAAGUCAUAUUCCACAAUAUUCUAAUCACAGUUUCAACAAUACUUCUCUCAAUCACAAUUCUUCAUAAGAAAAUAAUAAAAGAAAAAAAAAACAAAGAGGUAGUACCAAGCUUACCUCGGCUUACGACUCUCACAGUCUGGCCCCCAUCUCUCUUUUCUCAACCUCUUUAUCUUACCAAAAGAUGGACCGUCGGCGAGCACAU
rnacentral:lncRNA from 1 species